UACGCCUCUUUUCUCUUCUCCCUCAUCAGACGAUUUUUGUCCCAAAAACCCUAACCUCCGUCGCCCCAUCUACAAUCCGAUCGUUUCUAACAGUGAAGCCGACGAAGAAGAAGUCGUUUUGUUACCACCAUCAAGUUGCUCUCACUUGACGACGAGGUUCCCCUCAAUCCCAAUGUUUUUGAAUAGGUUCGAAGCGGCAAAUAAAUCUUGUGGAUGAGGACUUUGAGGAGGAGAUGUCCAUUGCAUCAGGAUAAAACUUGCGUACCCUGCUCACUUUUAAUCACAACACCAAGGCUUCAGUGAACCAGACCUAUGUGAAGUGGCAUUAGACAGGAAGGCCGUAAAAAUUCAACUUCGAGAGGUGGUUUGAAGAAUAUGGUUUAUGAAACAUUUAGCAGUAUGUAUUGUAGUCAUGGAUUUCAUUAGUUUUUUGCUGGAUUAUGUUUUGCGACACAAUGUGGUUGUCAAUACAUUGGUUUUUAUGUUUGUGUUGGAUGAAAGAUUGAUAUUUUGGCAAUAAGUUGUGUUGUUUGGUUAUUAACCUGCUGUCAAUGUACGUGAAUCUGUACUUAAUGUUCAA